rnacentral:lncRNA from 13 species
UGACCAUCUGCUUCAUUCUGGAUGCCUUCCGAGAAAUCGAAUCGCACCGUAUAGUUGGAAGUAUAAUAUAUCAUCCCUUCUACCACGAGUUAGAAGUCACUUGUGUGGGAAGGUAAUACAGCAGCCAAUCACCGAUCAAACUUGCGUCUGCCCUCCAACUCUGCCGAGCAUCGACUGAAUUCAACAAUUUUGCCUGUACUCAAAAGAAAUGCAGCCACGGAGGUGUACAAGUCUGUCGUAGUGUUCUUUUACUGUUUCUAUUGUGUUAAUCUCUCAGGAUUGGAUUUUACUUGUAUUUUAGCAGGGACCUAUACGUAUCACUUGGCACUGUUCGGAACGCGCGCGCGCGCGUGCUGGCCAAAGCAGCAGUCAUCUAACGAGCGCUUAAAUUGGACACUUAUACACUAGAUUCCGUUUCUUUUGAAUUUCAACAUUAUAUAU